rnacentral:tRNA from 1 species
GGGGACGUAGUAUAACUCGGUUAUUAUGGUCGGCUCCAGACCGAUUGAUGGGGGUUCAAAUCCCUCCGUCCCCA